rnacentral:rRNA from 1 species
UACGUAGGGCGCAAGCGUUGUCCGGAAUUAUUGGGCGUAAAGAGCUCGUAGGCGGUUUGUCGCGUCUGCUGUGAAAACUCGAGGCUCAACCUCGGGCUUGCAGUGGGUACGGGCAGACUAGAGUGCGGUAGGGGUGACUGGAAUUCCUGGUGUAGCGGUGGAAUGCGCAGAUAUCAGGAGGAACACCGAUGGCGAAGGCAGGUCACUGGGCCGGCAACUGA